GACGAACGCUGGCGGCGUGCUUAACUCAUGCAAGUCGAACGGAAAGGCCCUGCUUUUGUGGGGUGCUCGAGUGGCGAACGGGUGAGUAACACGUGAGUAACCUGCCCUUGACUUUGGGGUAACUUCAGGAAACUGGGGCUAAUACCGGAUAGGAGCUCCUGCUGCAUGGUGGGGGUUGGAAAGUUUCGGCGGUUGGGGAUGGACUCGCGGCUUAUCAGCUUGUUGGUGGGGUAGUGGCUUACCAAGGCUUUGACGGGUAGCCGGCCUGAGAGGGUGACCGGCCACAUUGGGACUGAGAUACGGCCCAGACUCCUACGGGAGGCAGCAGUGGGGAAUAUUGCACAAUGGGCGGAAGCCUGAUGCAGCAACGCCGCGUGCGGGAUGACGGCCUUCGGGUUGUAAACCGCUUUCGCCUGUGACGAAGCGUGAGUGACGGUAAUGGGUAAAGAAGCACCGGCUAACUACGUG
rnacentral:rRNA from 1 species